GACGAACGCUGGCGGCGUGCUUAACACAUGCAAGUCGAACGCUGAAGCUCAGCUUUUGUUGGGUGGAUGAGUGGCGAACGGGUGAGUAACACGUGAGUAACCUGCCCCCUUCUUUGGGAUAACGCCCGGAAACGGGUGCUAAUACUGGAUAUUCACUGGUCUUCGCAUGGGGGUUGGUGGAAAGGGUUUUUCUGGUGGGGGAUGGGCUCGCGGCCCAUCAGCUUGUUGGUGGGGUGAUGGCCUACCAAGGCUUUGACGGGUAGCCGGCCUGAGAGGGUGACCGGUCACAUUGGGACUGAGAUACGGCCCAGACUCCUACGGGAGGCAGCAGUGGGGAAUAUUGCACAAUGGGCGCAAGCCUGAUGCAGCGACGCCGCGUGAGGGAUGGAGGCCUUCGGGUUGUGAACCUCUUUCGCUCAUGGUCAAGCCGCAACAAUGGUUGUGGUGAGGGUAGUGGGUAAAGAAGCGCCGGCUAACUACGUG
rnacentral:rRNA from 1 species